GCCUAACACAUGCAAGUCGAACGGUAAGAUCUCGCUUGCGAGAUACACGAGUGGCGCACGGGUGAGUAACGCGUAUGCAACCUACCUUUAACAGAGGAAUAGCCCCGAGAAAUCGGGAUUAAUACCACAUAACAUUAUUUUAUGGCAUCAUAUGAAUAUUAAAGCUCCGGUGGUUAAAGAUGGGCAUGCGUGACAUUAGCUAGAUGGUGAGGUAACGGCUCACCAAGGCAACGAUGUCUAGGGGUUCUGAGAGGAUGAUCCCCCACACUGGUACUGAGACACGGACCAGACUCCUACGGGAGGCAGCAGUAAGGAAUAUUGCGCAAUGGAGGCAACUCUGACGCAGCCAUGCCGCGUGCAGGAUUGAAGGCCUUAUGGGUCGUAAACUGCUUUUAUUUAGGAAUAAACUUUCGUACGUGUACGAAAUUGAAGGUACUAAACGAAUAAGCACCGG
rnacentral:rRNA from 1 species